rnacentral:rRNA from 1 species
GAUGAACGCUAGCGGCAGGCUUAAUACAUGCAAGUCGUGGGGCAGCAGGACUGUAGCAAUACAGUUGCUGGCGACCGGCAAACGUGUUCGGAACACGUACGCAACGUACCCUGAACUGGGGGAUAGCACGGGGAAACACGGAUGAAUACCCCGUAAGAGAAUAGAGUGGCAUCACUUUAUUAUUAAAGCUCCGGCGGGUCGGGAUGGGCGUGCGGCUGAUUAGGUGGUUGGUUGAGGUAACGGCUCACCAAGCCUACGAGCAGUAACUGGUGUGAGAGCACGCCACGUUACAAGGGCGAUGAGGCACAGGCUCGACUGCUACGGGGCGGAGCAGUAAGGAAUAUAAGGCACUGGAGGCAACUCUAACCCUGCCAUGCCGGGUGGAGAAUGAUGGCCCUCUGGGUGGUAAUCUUCUUUUAUCGGGGACGAAUCCUGUGUAUUCUUGCGCAGUUGACGGUACCCGAGGAAUAAGCACCGGCUAACUCCGUG